rnacentral:rRNA from 1 species
UACGAAGGGAGCUAGCGUUGUUCGGAAUCACUGGGCGUAAAGCGCACGUAGGCGGAUCGUUUAGUCAGGGGUGAAAUCCCGGAGCUCAACUUCGGAACUGCCUUUGAUACUGGCGAUCUCGAGUCCGAUAGAGGUGGGUGGAAUUCCUAGUGUAGAGGUGAAAUUCGUAGAUAUUAGGAAGAACACCGGUGGCGAAGGCGGCCCACUGGAUCGGUACUGACGCUGAGGUGCGAAAGCGUGGGGAGCAAACAGG